GGAAGGAUCAUUAUUGAAUAAAUGGUUGAUAGGCUGUUGCUGGCUUCUUUGGAGUAUGUGCACGCUUGUCAUUCUUAUAUUUCCACUUGUGCACUCUUUGUAGAUCCUGGAUGAAUAAUUAUCUGGUUUUCUUUCAAUAGAUUGAGGAUUGCCAAUUCUUUUAUUGAAAGAAUUGGCUUUACCUUGUGUAUCUAGGUUCUAUGUCACUCACAUACUCCUAUGAAUGAAUAGAGUGGAUUAUUGGUCUAGUACCUAAAAUGUUGUAUACAACUUUCAGCAACGGAUCUCUUGGCUCUUGCAUCGAUGAAGAACGCAGCGAAAUGCGAUAAGUAAUGUGAAUUGCAGAAUUCAGUGAAUCAUCGAAUUUUUGAACGCAUCUUGCGCUCCUUGGUAUUCUGAGGAGCAUGCCUGUUUGAGUGUCAUUAAAUUCUCAACUACACUGACUUUUGUUAGUGCAGAUUGGACUUGGGGAAUUAUUUUGUUUUUGCAGGCUUUUUGUCAACAAAAGUCAGCUUCCCUAAAAUUUAUUAGCAAGAGAGUUAUCUCAGUAGAACUGUCUACAGGUGUGAUAAUUUAUCUACGCCUUAGAUGUCUGCAUAGUUAAUCUGCUUCUAAUUUUAAUGUUCCACUUACAGAGGGGUAUUAAUUUGAUAUCUUGACCUCAAAUCAGGUAGGACUACCCGCUGAACUUAAGCAUAUCAAUAAGCGGAGGAAAAGAAACUAACAAGGAUUCCCCUAGUAACUGCGAGUGAAGCGGGAAAAGCUCAAAUUUAAAAUCUGGUGGCUCUGGUCAUCCGAGUUGUAAUCUAAAGAAGUGUUACCCGUGCUGGACCAUGUACAAGUCUCCUGGAAUGGAGCAUCACAGAGGGUGAGAAUCCCGUCUUUGACAUGGACUGCCAGUGCUUUCGUGGUAUGCUCUCAAAGAGUCGAGUUGUUUGGGAAUGCAGCUCAAAAUGGGUGGUAAAUGCCAUCUAAAGCUAAAUAUUGGCAAGAGACCGAUAGUGAACAAGUACCGUGAGGGAAAGAUGAAAAGAACUUUGGAAAGAGAGUUAAACAGUACGUGAAAUUGCUGAAAGGGAAACGCUUAAAGUCAGUCAUGUCGACUUGAAAUCAAUCCUGCUUUUGCUGGAUGUAUUUUCUUGUUAACAGGUCAGCAUCAAUUUUGACCAGUGGACAAAGUUGUUGGGAAUGUGGCAUCUUUGGAUGUGUUAUAGCCUGAUAAUUCAUACAUUGGUUGGAAUUGAGGAACUCAGCAUGCUGCAAGGCCGGGUUUCGACCACGUUCAUGCUUAGGAUGCUGGCAUAAUGGCUUUAAUCGACCCGUCUUGAAACACGGACCAAGGAGUCUAACAUGCCUGCAAGUGUUUGGGUGGAAAACCCAUGCGCGUAAUGAAAGUGAAAGUUUGAGAUCCCUUUGGGGAGCAUUGACACCCAGACCAGACCUUUUGUGAUGGAUCUGCGGUAGAGCAUGUAUGUUGGGACCCGAAAGAUGGUGAACUAUGCCUGAAUAGGGUGAAGCCAGAGGAAACUCUGGUGGAGGCUCGUAGCGAUUCUGACGUGCAAAUCGAUCGUCAAAUUUGGGUAUAGGGGCGAAAGACUAAUCGAACCAUCUAGUAGCUGGUUCCUGC
rnacentral:misc_RNA from 1 species